AUGCUCCUCUGCUGCUCCGUCAUCACAGGGUGGGACGGCGACCUCGCCUUCCUGUUCAUUGUUCUGUCGGUAGCGACGUUCUUUGUCCAGGAUCAUCCGGACAGGGAGGUCCUCCAGGCCAUGCGUCUAGGCAUGUACUGCAACGCCGACCACAUGGCUAAGAUGGUCGUUGCCGCAACCGAGUUCCGUGCUCUCCGUUCUUCAGUAAAUCCAGAUGUGGAAACUAAAAGGCGAGUACCAUGGGAUCAUGAAGUAUAUAAAGCAAAGGAGGAGGAGUGCCAUCUACUCUCCAGCAAGAUAUUUUUUUUUGCUGGGGAAUGA
rnacentral:rRNA from 1 species